rnacentral:rRNA from 1 species
GACGAACGCUGGCGGCGUGCUUAACACAUGCAAGUCGAACGAAGUGGCGAACGGGUGAGUAACGCGUAUUCAACCUGCCCAUCAGAGGGGGACAACAGUUGGAAACGACUGCUAAUACCGCAUACUGAAGGAGGGGAUUGCGUUCGAUUAGCUAGUUGGAGGGGAAACGGCCCACCAAGGCGAUGAUCAGGAGCCGGUCUGAGAGAAUGAGCAGCCACAUUGGGACUGAGACACGGCCCAGACUGCUACGGGAGGCAGCAGGGGGGAAUCGUCCGCAAUGGACGAAAGACUGACGGAGCAACGCCGCGUGAAUGAUGACGGCCUUCGGGUUGUAAAGCUCUGUUAAUCGGGACGCGGUACCGAAAUAGAAAGCCACGGCUAACUACGUGCCAGCAGCCGCGGUAAUUC